GGGGGGUGACUGACGGCGAGUCCCAUCAGCGCGCUGAGCUGCAGAUACUGCGGAAAGAACACGUGAGAGGAGUGCGUCGGAGCGAUCUUGAAAAUCGCUGAGAAUUCACAGCUCUUCGUGGGUUCGAAUCCCACGCCCUCCG
rnacentral:tRNA from 2 species